rnacentral:lncRNA from 1 species
UUUCUGAUGCAGGAAUACAGCUAUCUAGGAACAAAAGGGAGAUGAGACUACAGAACAGACUGUGAAAUUUCUUAAAAUUAUUAAAUGAUCCUAAGACUGAGCACAGGAGUGGAUGAUGUUACUGCAGAUUGUUCUUAAUAAGGGCUUUAAAAGCUUAAUGAUUUAUUGAUUGGCUCUGCAUUAAUGACGUGCCCUUGAUUAUGCAUGUGUAAAUAAGAGGGCUGAUUUAUGAGGGUACAAUUGUAUCUUUCAGAUAUAUUUGUCCAAGUCUACAUCUUUAAAAUAAAUGGAAGCAAUUAUCUGAAUAUUUCAAGGGAGGGAACCCCACCUUCCCAUCCCCCACCCCCGAUUUGAGGGAAGUCUAGUAUGUUAGGUGAAGAGAAAAAAAAAGAAAAGAGGAAGCUCUAAAGGGAGUUAGGAACAAAACAAAACUUCCGUUAAGAAAUAUCCCUGCUUCUCUUAUCCUAAGAGAAGAAAAACAGAUUCCCAGGUGCCACCGGGGAGCAAUGUUUUACUUAAAAAAAAAAAAAGAAAAAGGAAAAAGAAAAACCUGUAAGAAGUUGUCCUGUUAAAUCAACGACACAUGGAGUCUGAAGGAAAUCAGCCUUUUCGUUACAAACAGGUUUAAAAAGCCCUGGAGAAGAGAGACGUGAACAGAAGCAAUAUUAUCCACUAACAACCUAACUCCCGCUUAGACAUCAGCUGAGAGAUCAGCAGCAUCAUUGAACAGGGGGGUUUGUCUUAAGAUAAUGACUCAUCUUGAUUUCUUUCAGGAUAUAAAACUUGUAUUUAAAUCAAUUCAGAGAAGCACUUGAGCUUUAAACAUUAGAGAGCAGGGAGAGCCUAUUUAAUAAACAGCAUUAUUUCAUUUUCAAAGAAUGAUACUGGCAGUAGCUCUAAGUUUAAAUUUUGUAUUAUUUUCCUCAAUUAUAAUUAUAGAUGGGUCUGAAAGGAAGCAUGCUUAUUACUGUCAUAUUUAUUCUUUUGACAGGUGUUAUGGGACUGUAAUUUGGUGAAAUGAUUCAAAACGCAGAUUCCUAUCCAAACACAAUUCUUGUCAUCAACACGAGAGGUUCAGGAAAAGUCCUCCAGCAAGCCUUUCAGAGAUCUUGAACACCCCAUAUUCAUAGCACAAUCCAUAUUCAGGAAUAAGGAGGAGAGAGUGCCUUUAGGGCUUAUAUCCGGCGUAGCAACAGCCAGAAGGCAGAGUGGGUGUUUGAGGUAACAGGUAACGAAGGCUGUUAGUGGGGACAGCUUUCAACUGGGUGGGGUCGGAUCUAGGAAGAGGCACCCAGUAGGACCCCGAGUCCCGCGCGCGGCCGGCAGAGGGCGCUGGGCUCACCGUCGCCGGGCAGGGGCGGUGCCGCUCAGUCCCCGGGGCGCAGGCGCACUCGUCGCCGCGGCGGCGUCCGGGGCUGGCGUUCCCCUGGAGGCUGGUGAGCCGCGCUGCGCAGGCCGAGGCCGAGGGCGGGGGCGCGGGGGCAGCGGCGGCCGGAGCCACUGGGUGGCGGGGGCGGGCUAGGGAUGUGGAGGCCUCGGGUGUCCUCGGAUCUAUUGAAGACCUAGGGGCGACCCGCGCCGGCACCUUUUCCCUUGCGGUCUGCGCUCUUCCACCGGAGAGCUGAGUGCACCGGAGCGCGGCGCCCGGGCUUGACGCAGGCCUGGCCGGGCGGCCUCGGAGGAGCAGGAAAGGCCUGCAGCGCGAGCUAGGGGCGCGAGGUCCGGGGCAGCCCGGAGGCCAGCCUCUCAGAGGCUCACGGGCCUGGCCACUUUUAAAAGGAGAAUGUCCCCUCCACCGUCCCUCUGCCCGCGGCACCCGGUGGCCGGAGCAACCUUGUCGUGAUGAUUUAUGCUUCUGCGUAAGAGCAAGUUGCUCCGUGGCCAAAACCCUUUCGCUCCUAGGAUUGAUCCUUUUUGUGGUUAUUGUUUUAAAAAGUUUUAUUGAGAUAUAAUUCACGAAGCAUACAGUUCACCCAUCUAAAGUGCACAAUUCAGUGUCUUUUAGUGUGUUUGCAGAGUUGUGCAGCUGUCACCAUAAUGUUUUAGAACAUUACCCCCCAAAAGAAACACCUCCUUUAGCUGUCACUCCCCCCUCCCAUCUACUCCCAUUCUCCCAGCCCUAGGCAACCACCAAUGUACUUCUGUCUCUGUACUUUUGCCUAUUCUGGAUGUUUCGUAUAAAUGGAAUCAUACAUUAAGUAGCCCCUUGUGACUGGGUUUGUUCACUUAGCGUAAUGUUUUCUGGGUUCACCUGCCAUAGGUUCUUGACUUCAGGACAGUUUCCUGCUGGCUUUAGUUUCCUCUGGUAACUUGGGAAUCAAUUGACAUCUAUGGAACUUCUGUUAUGGUUCAGGUACUAUAAACUGUGGAGGAGUGACUAAUAACCGUAUAUAUAUUUUUCUUACUAAUUUCCCUUCAUUUCACAGGUGUUGAACUAAUACAGUAUAGUUUCUUGUUCUUCAGAAGCUUACAGUCAGCAAGGAACAGAAAGCCAAAUAAAGUAGGAAAGGGUAAGAUGUUCAACGCUGGGCGCAGUGGCUCAUGCCCAUAAUCUCAGCACCGUAGGAGGCUGAGGAAAGAGGAUCACUUGAGCCUAGAAUUUUGAGACCAGCCUGGGCAACAUAGUAAGACUUCGUUUCUAUAAAUAAUUAAAAAAAUUAGCCAGACGUGGUGGCGUGUGCCUGUGAUCCCGGCCACUUGAGAGGCUGAGGUAGAAUCGUUUGAGCCCGGGCAGUUGUGACUGCAGUGAUCCCUGAUCAUGCUACUGUACUCCAGCCUGGGUGACAGAGUGAGACCCUGUCUCAGGACAAAAAAAAAAAAAAAA